rnacentral:misc_RNA from 1 species
UACGUAGGGUCCGAGCGUUGUCCGGAAUUAUUGGGCGUAAAGGGCUCGUAGGCGGUCCGUCAAGUCGGCUGUGAAACCUCAGGGCUCAACCCUGAGCUUGCAGCCGAUACUGGCGGACUUGAGGCAGGUAGGGGAGAGUGGAAUUCCCGGUGUAGCGGUGAAAUGCGCGGAUAUCGGGAGGAACACCGGUAGCGAAGGCGGCUCUCUGGACCUGUCCUGACGCUGAGGAGCGAAAGCGUGGGUAGCAAACAGG